rnacentral:ncRNA from 1 species
GCACUGGAUGGAAGGUUGUUCCGCUGUGAUCCAAUUGUCGGACAUCGAAGGAGAGCGACGCUCAGAUGUCUGGUACAGUGC